CAGAAAAUGUAAAAAAAGGUAGAAACUAUUAGGCAAAAAAAAGCCCGUUUUAACAAGUUAUUAAAAGCGAAGUGUGAACUAUUGUGCCAGUUAAAAAUACUAGGGACACCUAGGCAUAAAGGAAUAGUAACCUGGGGAUCUGGUAAUUUACGGAAUAAAGGAAAACUAAGGUGCAAAUAUAAUUAAGGUUGUAAGCAGUGGAUCUCAAAAUGGGAAAAUAAUCCAGAUGAUUUGUCAGGACUUGAUGUAAGAAGAAAGCAGAAUAUGGAAAAGGAGUGGUCAGAGUCAGAAAGACAUUUUAAGAUGCAAUACUGAGGCCUCGAAGAUGCGGAAAAAGCCUAUCAUUUAAGGAUUACAAGUGAUAUCUCAAAGCUGGAAAAAGCAAAGCAAUUGAUUAUUUCCCACAGACUCCAUAAAGUUCAUAAGUCUUGCCAAUACAUGAAUUUUCGUCCAGUAAAACUUCUAAAACAUAGAACACAUAAGACAAUAAAUCUGUGUUCUUUAAAGUCAGUUUACUUGUUUGGUAAUUAGCUACAGUAUCUACAGACAACUGAUAUGAAUAUGAAGACUGAUGACUCCACUCAUGCACCAACAUGACAGAUAUUGGCGAAUUCCUUAAUUAUUAUUAUUACUUCGAGACUGGGUCUUGCUAUUUUACCCAGCUCUCACAAUGAGGCUUUCUGGGAAGAUCAGCAUAGGCUCCUAGGCAGGUUCAAAAGUUGAGAGAGAGAGCAAGAAGUGAUAGGGUUUUAUUCUGAUUAUGAUGUGGAGUGAGGGUUUUCCUGCAUGAGCUGAGCUUGCUUGAUUCGAAUUUCCUGCCAACAUCAAAUAAGGGAGUCUCUCUCUCUCUCUCUCUUUCUUGAUGGACUUUCACUCUUGUCGCCUAGGCUGGAGUGCAGUGGCACGAUCUAAGCUCCCUGCAACCUCCUCCUCACCUCUGCCUCCUGGAUUCUCCUGCCUCAGCCUCCCGAGUAGCUGGGACCAUAGUGCAAUGAUUGUCUCAUGAUGGACUGUACAACUUCUUCGCCAACUCUGGUUCCAUGUCUGUCACCAUUUAUUAAUAUAUUUGCUUCUCAAAGGUAGGUUUUCUUUGUCUGUUCUUCUUUACAUAGAGUUAUCACACUGGGUAGAAAAAUCAUUGGAACACAGGCAGUGCUCCAUAAGAGUUGGUUGUGUAAAGGAGCAAAGCAAAAUGAUUGUGAAAUAUUUAAAUAGCUCAAGCCAAUGAAUGGUAGGAAUUGGUAGUUAAUCCAGGGCUACAGGAGAGAUCAUGAAUGGCAUCUCUCUCCCUAGAAAUAUUAAAUAUGAUAGUGGAUUAAGAUAUUCUCAUUCAUACGAACAGAAUAAAUGAAAUAUACCCAAUGUUGAAUGUAUAAAA
rnacentral:lncRNA from 13 species